GAUGAACGCUGGCGGCGUGCCUAAUACAUGCAAGUCGAGCGAACGGACGAGAAGCUUGCUUCUCUGAUGUUAGCGGCGGACGGGUGAGUAACACGUGGAUAACCUACCUAUAAGACUGGGAUAACUUCGGGAAACCGGAGCUAAUACCGGAUAAUAUUUUGAACCGCGUGGUUCAAAAGUGAAAGACGGUCUUGCUGUCACUUAUAGAUGGAUCCGCGCUGCAUUAGCUAGUUGGUAAGGUAACGGCUUACCAAGGCAACGAUGCAUAGCCGACCUGAGAGGGUGAUCGGCCACACUGGAACUGAGACACGGUCCAGACUCCUACGGGAGGCAGCAGUAGGGAAUCUUCCGCAAUGGGCGAAAGCCUGACGGAGCAACGCCGCGUGAGUGAUGAAGGUCUUCGGAUCGUAAAACUCUGUUAUUAGGGAAGAACAUAUGUGUAAGUAACUGUGCACAUCUUGACGGUACCUAAUCAGAAAGCCACGGCUAACUACGUGCCAGCAGCCGCGGUAAUACGUAGGUGGCAAGCGUUAUCCGGAAUUAUUGGGCGUAAAGCGCGCGUAGGCGGUUUUUUAAGUCUGAUGUGAAAGCCCACGGCUCAACCGUGGAGGGUCAUUGGAAACUGGAAAACUUGAGUGCAGAAGAGGAAAGUGGAAUUCCAUGUGUAGCGGUGAAAUGCGCAGAGAUAUGGAGGAACACCAGUGGCGAAGGCGACUUUCUGGUCUGUAACUGACGCUGAUGUGCGAAAGCGUGGGGAUCGAACAGGAUUAGAUACCCUGGUAGUCCACGCCGUAAACGAUGAGUGCUAAGUGUUAGGGGGUUUCCGCCCCUUAGUGCUGCAGCUAACGCAUUAAGCACUCCGCCUGGGGAGUACGACCGCAAGGUUGAAACUCAAAGGAAUUGACGGGGACCCGCACAAGCGGUGGAGCAUGUGGUUUAAUUCGAAGCAACGCGAAGAACCUUACCAAAUCUUGACAUCCUUUGACAACUCUAGAGAUAGAGCCUUCCCCUUCGGGGGACAAAGUGACAGGUGGUGCAUGGUUGUCGUCAGCUCGUGUCGUGAGAUGUUGGGUUAAGUCCCGCAACGAGCGCAACCCUUAAGCUUAGUUGCCAUCAUUAAGUUGGGCACUCUAAGUUGACUGCCGGUGACAAACCGGAGGAAGGUGAGGAUGACGUCAAAUCAUCAUGCCCCUUAUGAUUUGGGCUACACACGUGCUACAAUGGACAAUACAAAGGGCAGCGAAACCGCGAGGUCAAGCAAAUCCCAUAAAGUUGUUCUCAGUUCGGAUUGUAGUCUGCAACUCGACUACAUGAAGCUGGAAUCGCUAGUAAUCGUAGAUCAGCAUGCUACGGUAAAUACGUUCCCGGGUCU
rnacentral:rRNA from 1 species